UUUUUAUUUAAUAAAAAUAAUUUUAAUAAUUAAUAUUUUUAGUAAAGUUUAUUGAAAAAAUUAAGUUAGUUAUAGUUAAAUUGUAUUGUAAAAGAUUAUUGAAAUAAGAUUUUAUUUUUAAAAAGUAUAAUUUAAUUUUAGUACCUUGUGUAUCAGGGUUUAUUAAAUAAAAAUUAAAAAUUUUAAUUUUCUCGAAUUUAAGAGAGCUAAUAAAUUAUUUUUUUUAUUGUAAAAAAAAUAUUUAUCAUAAUUUAUUGGCAAUGAAAUGUUAUUCGUUCUUAAAUAUAUCUAGUUUAUUUAGAAAUGAAUUUAAUUCAGAUAUUAUUAUUUUAAUAAUUUAAUUUUUUAAAUUAUUAUAUUUAUUAAUAUUAAUAAUUAAAGGGAUUAGCUUUUAAUUAAAAAUUUAAAAAUUAAUAGAAUAUUUUUAAAAAAUGUAGAUUUAGAAAUAGUCAUCAAUAAUAAUUUGUUAUAAUUAAUUUAUUUAAAAAUAUUAUUUUAUAUAGUUUUAAAUUUUUUAUAAAUAAUUAAUUUUUAAUUUGAAAAAUUUAGUUAUAAUGAUAGAAUUAGUAUAUAUUUAAUUUAUUUUAAUAAUAAUUUUUUAAAGAUUAUUUAAAGGAAUUCGGCAAAAAUUUUACUCGCCUGUUUAACAAAAACAUGUCCUUUUGAAUUUUUAUUUAAGGUCUAGUCUGCCCACUGAAUUUAUAUUUUAAAUGGCCGCAGUAUUUUGACUGUGCAAAGGUAGCAUAAUCAUUAGUUUUUUAAUUAAAAGCUUGUAUGAAAGGCUGGACGAGGUAAAAUCUGUCUCUAUUUAAAUUAUAAUAGAAUUUAACUUUUAAGUUAAAAGGCUUAAAUAAUAUUAAAAGACGAGAAGACCCUAUAGAUCUUUAUAAUUUAUUUAAUAAAAUUAAUUUAGAAUUAUUUAUAUUUUAUUAAAUUAAAUUAUUUUAUUGGGGUAAUAGAAAGAUUGAAUUAAUUCUUUUUUAUAAUAAACAUUUAUUUAUGAAUAUUAAAUGAUCCAGUUUUAUUGAUUAUAAGAUUAAGUUACCUUAGGGAUAACAGCGUAAUUUUUUUGGAGAGUUCAUAUCGAUAAAAAAGUUUGCGACCUCGAUGUUGGAUUAAAGAUUAUUUUAGGUGCAGAAGCUUAAUAAUUUUGGUCUGUUCGACCAUUGAAUCUUUACAUGAUCUGAGUUCAGACCGGCGUAAGCCAGGUCGGUUUCUAUCUUUAAUAAUAUAAAAUAUUUUAGUACGAAAGGACCAAAUAUUUGAUAUAUUUAUAUUUAAUUUAUUGAAUUUUAUUAAAAUUAUU
rnacentral:rRNA from 1 species